UAAAAGAUAACCGCGCUAUCAUCGAGUCUUAACACAAACAAAUAAAAAAAGUACGCAAAAAUCAAUACUAUACACGUCCUGAUCACGUUUGUAAUUUCUAGUUUCUAAAGCAACACGUUGUUAUUUUUUUAUUAUUUAGAUUUGAAUAUUUGUUUGAUUAAAUGGAAUGCAGCGUAUCCGAGCACGCUGCGUCGGGGGCGGCGGGUGCAAAACAGCCGUUAAUGACAAUUCGAUAGAGGGCUGGAGGCGGCGACCCCCGCCGUUUCCAAGACGACGGCACAGCCUCGCUUCAGUUUUCCUAGCCCAUCUGAUAUGUUUGUAUAAAGAUUUGAUAGCAAUUACACCACGGUUUGCCAAAGCGCUUCUUUCGAAUGGAGAGUCCUUCACAACAAAAGGCUCCCUCUAUUAGCUAAAAUGAGGCAAAGCUUGGGACAAUGGGACGAGUGCGGGAUUUUUAAGGGGCGGCGGAUACGUAAAAAAGAAGAUGUAUAGUCAAGGUGACCAAAUAGUGAAUAGUGACCCUGCGUGGCGGUCUCAACUAUAAAUAAAGUCAACAAUUUUAGCAACUUUUUUUCGGUGUAUUUCGUUUCGUAUGGGAAUCCACUCGUGUGUACUCUCCUCAAUAGCAAUCACAGCCUGAAGUCGUCGUAUUACACGUGUCAAAUCAACGGGGAGUUUGUAAUGACCCGAACGCCCCCCAUUAUUAUUUAGGACGGUCGACGUUUCGCAUUGUUAGCCCAUCACACUUGCUGACUUCCAGUCAACUAAACUAAACCAAUUAUUAUGUGCCCUUUAUUCCAGUGUUUGCUUGUGGAGGAGAUUCGGCCGUGGCGGAAAACAAUAAAAACCAUUAUUUACAUCCGUCGGGAUGGAACUGAAAAUUUGUCAACUUCGAAAUCAUUCGAAAUAACAAUGGAAAUGGGAGCACAGCGAGCAGGUUUAGCAGUACUCAAGUUACUUUCUACUAUACAGAGUGUUUUGUUUUUAAGAAGAAACGCCCAACUUAUAUGAAUUUUUUUUAAAUGGAUGUGACGCAAGAUUUUGUGAAGCCAUAAAUAAAGGCUCUUAUUAUACAUAGUGUUAAUAAAAAUUUGAAUUUUCAAAAA